GGACGCGACUGGCAUUUCAAACAUCUUCAAGUCCUUUUGCAACGCAUGAAAUGAAUUUCCUUGGAAGUGGUUACAUGAGCUACACACAAUUGUUGAUGGCUGCUGAUCAAGAGGCUGGUAUUGGUGGAUCUCAACAUUCUGGUCAACAACAAGAUUCUGGUGGCAGGGGGUUUUGUGAGGUAUGAUUUCAUUUACAUAUGUACAUAUCCGACUGCCCUUUCCCCCAUGUGUGACAGAAAAAAUAACAAAAAAAAUGCUUACUCUUUUAUUCUUGUUGUUGCUUAUACGGAAUGAC